AGUGAACGCUGGCGGUAGGCCUAACACAUGCAAGUCGAACGGCAGCACAGUAAGAUCUUGCUCUUACGGGUGGCGGGUGGCGGACGGGUGAGGAGUACAUCGUCAUCUACUUUUUCGUGGGGGACAACGUAGGGAAACUUACGCUACUACCGCAUACGACCUACCGGUGAAAGCAGGUGAUCUUCGUACCUUGCGCUAAUGAAUGAGCCGAUGUCGGAUUAGCUAGUUGGCGGGGUAAAGGCCCACCAAGGCGACGAUCCGUAGCUGGUCUGAGAGGAUGAUCAGCCACACUGGAACUGAGACACGGUCCAGACUCCUACGGGAGGCAGCAGUGGGGAAUAUUGGACAAUGGGCGCAAGCCUGACCCAGCCAUACCGCGUGGGUGAAGAAGGCCUUCGGGUUGUAAAGCCCUUUUGUUGGGAAAGAAAAGCAGCAGGUUAAUACACCGCUGUUCUGACGGUACCCAAAGAAUAAGCACCGGCUAACUUCGUG
rnacentral:rRNA from 1 species